CAUCUGGUUCCACUCAGGUCCUCCCCCACCUCCAGGCGCGCUCCUCCUCCCAUCUCCUCCCUUGCUCCCAGAAAAGUGGAGACGAAUUUUAAAAACCCAGUCACACACACACACACACACAUACACACACACCACACACACGCGCACACACGCGCGUGCGCGCGCGCACACACACACACACAAACACACACGCACACUUCUCCAGAAAAGAUGGGAGUGAGAAAAAAGGAGGGAAAAGUCAAGAGGCCCCACUCUCCGGCGGGCCGGUCACCGAAGUUGGCCAAGUUGGCAGCGCCUUACCCAGGAGGGCGGCGGCGGAGUCCGCAGGGUGGCCAAGACGCAGUCCCCCGAGAAGCAAGACGCAGCGCAGCAGUCCCUCUCUUUUCAGACCGGGCCUGGAGCCCCAGACGCUGCGUCACAGCUUCUCCUGCUGGCGCGAGAGGCGAAGCAACUACAAAACUUUCCGCAGAACUUCACAUCGUGGCGAAACCUGGGCUGCUGCGAGGCCUGGCCAGCCGAGGGCGGGGAUGCGCGACUGACUCAGAAUGUGUGUGACUCCUGUGUCAGUGUACCUGGCACAAAGAAUGUAACACUUGAGCUGAUAGGGGCCUCUGCAUCCAGAGACCUGGGACAAAAGCGGUCCGCUAGAUGUCCCAGAAGAACUACAUCAUUCCCAGCAGCUGGGCUGCUGGCCGGUAGCAAAGAACAAAACGGAAAUUUCAUGAAGACAAUCCUCCAGUUACUUAGCCUUAUGCAACAGGUCAGAUGGCAGCGCAGAGCACUGGACUGAGAAUCUGGAUUUUGGAGGGCAGCCGACACCCUACCUCUGAUUUCCCAGUCUUGAAAGAGAUGCUUGGGAACUCCAGCUGAGAGCAGGGUUGAGACUUCUGGAGUCCUACAGCACAAAGCAGAUUCACCUUCUCCUAUCACAAGUGAUCAAAACACUGUAAAACUGUAAUAUACGUUUUAUUGUUUCCUGGACUAGCCCCUGCGGGGCUUUUUGGAAAUAACAAACAUGACUUUUCAGGACUUCUGCUGUAGGUAUCUCUGCUGUAAAGGCUCUGCUCCAGGGAGGCUCCACCUUGGCCCUUCUGAGCUCUGCCAACUGAGAUUCUUGGCUUAAUAUAGCCCACUGAUUGCAGGCCCCUGGAAAGGUCUCCCUAGCCAUGGCCCUGACUGUCACCCAAGAGAGCAAAACCCCUUACCCUAAGGCUAACUUGAGCAGGGUUACAGAUUGGCUUCUGGACAUUGUUCACAGCUUCACUGGCUCCAUGGAGCAUCUCUUCUUCGUUUGACAUGUCUUGGGAUCCUAAGGUCCUGUACACAGCUGGCUAAGCUAGGGCUGCCUUCUCCUGACAUCCCCCCUCCUUACAAGUCUUGUCAUUUGAGAGAUCUGAGAACCUGCCAGCUAUGGAUGAGCUACACUUCCCUAUCCGAACGGCCUAAAUACAAGAUGCUUCUGGAAACAGAAUCGGAUCCCUCUUCCACCAGCCAGAGUAGGUUUUGGUACUACCCAGCUGGCAGAGCAAGAGCCAACACUGUGAUGUCACAUGGGUGUGACAUGGCUCCGGCCAGUUGCCCACACAAGACCCACAGUGUGUGUGAACACACACUAUCAGUCAUCUCCCGUCCCAUCACCAAACACCAUCCUGUGCCAACCGAUGUGAAAGCAAAGACAAGCUAAUACACUUGUAGUCCUGAGACUUUCACUUGAUGGGAGAAAUUAACUCUUUGUCAUAUCCAGGGCUGAGAAGAGUCUGCUGGGGUGAGGGAUGGGAGCUGAAAAGUAUGACGGGCUAGCAGAGUCUUGUUCAAGGCCCUCAAGCCUGUUCUAGUCAGGGCCACUUACCAUGUACCACUUACUGGCUAUAUCUGACCAGGCCCCUGUCCAUGACUACCAUCUGACUUAGAUCUUGGGCAGAGAGCUGGGCCCAAACUGGCUAACUGCAGUGACUUCUGGCCCAGU